AGUCUCCUACGGGGCGCAGCAGUGGGGAAUAUUGCACAAUGGGGGAAACCCUGAUGCAGCGACGCCGCGUGAGUGAAGAAGUAUUUCGGUAUGUAAAGCUCUAUCAGCAGGGAAGAAAAUGACGGUACCUGACUAAGAAGCCCCGGCUAACUACGUGCCAGCAGCCGCGGUAAUACGUAGGGGGCAAGCGUUAUCCGGAUUUACUGGGUGUAAAGGGAGCGUAGACGGCGCUGCAAGUCC
rnacentral:rRNA from 1 species